rnacentral:rRNA from 1 species
UACAGAGGGGGCAAGCGUUGUCCGGAUUCAUUGGGCGUAAAGAGCUCGUAGGCGGCUUGGCAAGUCGGGUGUGAAACCUCCAGGCUCAACCUGGAGGCGCCACCCGAUACUGCCAUGGCUAGAGUCCGGUAGGGGACCACGGAAUUCCUGGUGUAGCGGUGAAAUGCGCAGAUAUCAGGAAGAACAUCGGUGGCGAAGGCGCUCUGCUGGACCAUAACUGACACUCAGGGACGAAAGCUAGGGGAGCGAAUGGG